rnacentral:rRNA from 1 species
AUGGAUGAGUUGCUCUUUAAAGAGGAAAUGUUAUGGAAACAGAGGUCGCGGAUUGAUAAAAUUAGAUGGGGAGAUCGGAAUACAAAAUUCUUUAGAGCUAAGGCUACUUGGAGAGUAAAGAAUUUUUUUAUAUCUAGCCUGAAAAGGAAUGAUGGUACGGUUACUGAGGAUGUGGCAGAAAUUCAUAGCAUCACUAAUUCAUUUUUUAAAAAGUUGUAUACUGGCGAUGGUAUGGUUGAUCCUUCUCUGAUUAUUCCAUUGGUAAAGCCUCUUGUCAGUGAGGACAUGAAUAGUGAAUUAUGCAAACCGUUUACGGAUCAGGAAAUUAGUGAUGCUCUCUUUCAAAUUGGGCCGCUUAAAGCUCCAGGUCCUGAUGGCUUUCCGGCAAUAUUUUUUCAGCGCAAUUGGGGAAUGUUGAAGGAGGACAUUAUUCGUGCAGUUAAAAGGUUCUUUGAUACAGGUAUGAUGCCGGAAGGUGUUAAUGAUACGGUAAUUGUCCUUACACCAAAGGUAAAGAACCCCCAAUCGAUCAAAGAAUUUCGGCCUAUCAGCCUCUGCAAUGUUAUUUAUAAAAUUAUCUCAAAGUGCCUAGUGAACAGAUUGAGGUCGCUCCUUGAUGGUAUGAUUUCUCCAACACAAAGUGCUUUUAUUCCUGGGAGAUUGAUAUCUGAUAAUGCGCUUAUGGCGUUUGAAUGUAUGCACUCUUUAAACACUCUCAAGGAUGGGCGGGGUGAGUUUUGUGCGUAUAAACUUGAUCUAGCUAAGGCUUAUGAUAGAGUGGAUUGGAAUUUUCUGAAGUGUAUGUUGAGUGCGCUCGGGUUUGCGAGUGGAUGGAUAAAGUGGAUUAUGGCUUGUGUUACCUCGGUGAAAUUCUCUGUUCGCUUCAACGGACAACUCUUGGAGUCAUUUACGCCUUCAUGUGGUAUCAGGCAAGGAGACCCUCUAUCUCCUUAUUUAUUCUUGUUCGUGGCCGAGGCCCUCUCUGUGUUGUUACAGGAUGCGUGUAAUAGAGGAGCGCUGCUAGAAUUCAAGGUGAACAGGCAUGCGCCGGGUAUUUCACAUCUAUUGUUUGCAGAUGACUGUCUUUUAUUUUUCAAGGGAGCCAUUGAUCAAGCGUUGACAAUUAAAAAUAUUAUUUCAACCUAUGAGAAAGGGACUGGCCAAUUGUUGAGCCCAAAUAAAUGCUCUAUCAUGUUUGGUAAAAAAUGUAGUAUGGAAGUUCAAGUGGCUGUUAUGGUAAUUUUGUGCAUUACCACCGAAGGAUUUGAAGACAAAUAUCUUGGUUUACCGGUGCCUCAAGGUCGAAUGAAGGAGGGCAAAUUUCAAUCCACUAAGGACAAAGCUCUCAAAAUUCUAUCGGACUGGAUAGAGAAAUAUGCUUCUUGUGGGGCGAAAGAAACGUUGAUUAAAUCUAUUCUGCAAGCUCUUCCGGUGUAUGCUAUGGGUAUUUUUAAAUUCCCGGCGUCUCUAUGCGAGGAAUUAUCUCAGAUUAUAAGGAAUUUCUGGUGGGGGGAUGUGGAAAACAGAAGGAAGACUCAUUGGUUGGCUUGGGAUAAGAUGACAAAGCCUAAAGCGAAGGGUGGUAUGGGUUUUCGGGAUCUUAGAUUAUUUAACCAGGCUCUUUUAGCGAAGCAGGCAUGGAGGCUGGUGGUGAAUCCGGAAUCUCUGUGUGCCAGAGUGAUCAAGGCAAAAUAUUAUCCACAGGGGCAUAUUUUAGACACAGCUUUCCCGCAGUCGGCCUCUCUCACAUGGCAAGGUAUUUUGCAUGGGUUGGAGCUGCUUAAAUCCGGAGUUAUUUGGAGAGUGUGUGAUGGGGCUAAUAUUCAUAUUUGGAGAGAUAAUUGGCUUCCUAGAGCUUCUGGACUUAAAAUCUCUGCAAAGAAGAAUAUAACUAGAGUUAAAUGGGUUGAGGAAUUGUUCAUGAGUGGAGAAAGGAGAUGGGAUGAGGAGCUGGUUAGGCAUUUAUUUUACCCUUAUGACGCGGAUGAGAUUUUGAGGAUGCGGAUCCAAUCAAAUGGGGAGGCAGAUUUUGUUGCUUGGCAUUAUGAAAAGUCAGGGUUGUUCUCAGUUAGGAGUGCGUACAAGUUAGCGCUCACCCUUAAGGAUAAAAAAGAGGAUGAGGGGCAAUCCAGUGAGGCGGUAGGGACGGAGAGGAAAAUUUGGAAUAUUAUUUGGAAGGCAAACAUUCCUCAGAAGAUUCAUAUUUUUGCAUGGAGGGUUGCUUCCAAUAGCUUGGCCGUACAGGUUAAUAGAGUGGCGCAUCAUCAAGCCUGUGUUAGUACGUGUUCUAUUUGUGGCAUGGAGGAUGAAAAUACCUUCCAUGCGCUUGUCUUGUGCCCGAAGGCGCGUGCGCUUCGCAUGGCCAUGAGGAACAUUUGGGCUCUACCUGAUGAGGAGGUUUUCAGAUAUACGGGGUAUGAUUGGUUUAUUGUUCUCCUGAGUCAAUUAAACCCCGUAAUGCGAGACCAAAUUAUAUUCUUAUUCUGGAGGACCUGGCAUUUGAGAAAUGAUUUGAUCUUUGGUAAAGGAAAGGAAUCAGUUUCAGCUUCUGCUUGCUUUGUAGAGAGUUAUUGGGCGUCCUUUGGUGCAUAUCAUUCUCCGAGGCCGGUGGAUGUUCAAAAUAAAGGAAAAGGGCCGUUGGUCCGGAUUAGCGGAGUUCCUAAUUCUCUAGAUGCGAGUAGUGGCUGGUCCCUGCCUCCUGCAGGUUGGUUCAAGAUUAAUGUCGAUGCUAGCUUCGUGGAGUCCAUUAGAGAAGCCAGUGUGGGGGUGGUGGUCAGGGACGAGGAAGGGGAAGUUAUUGUUUCGUCGUGGGAUUUCAUUGGUGCCUGUCAAAGCGUGGAGGAAGCGGAGCUUAGAGCUUGCAUUGCCGGUCUCUAUAUAGGUAUUUCUCUUCAUAAUCCUAUAAUUUUAGAGACUGACUGCACUUUUGUGAUAGCGGCUCUUGCAUCGGGGGACUAUGACAGGUCUGCUAUGCGUGACCUGAAGAUGGAAGCGUUGAGUAUCUCGAAGUUGAUCAACAAUCUUCAAUUGUCAAAGAUUAGUCGCACGGCCAAUAUGAUGGCUCAUUUAAUCGCUAAGUAUAGCUUUGACAAUAGAGUAGAUGGUAUUCUUAUAAAUGAUGUACCGCCCUGUGUGGUGAAUAUUGUAUCGAAUGAGUGUACUGGUGUGGUUGGUUAA